UUUGGAUGCGAUUUUUUAAUUUGACUCUGAACCAAUGACCGUGCACACCGCUAUUAAUUGCAAUGAAAUAAGAGCAACUAAUUCCCUUGGUAAAGAUAUCUAUCUGUACACUGAUUUGUACAAGAAAUGUUGGAGAGCCUGUCCAUCCAAUUGCAAUCCCCUUCUUCUGUUCCUGUACAACUUCCCUACUUCUGUAAAUCAACUAACUGCAUCCAAACCAUACAUACACGAUCCCGCUGAAGACGAGGAGCUUCCUCUUGCUCCUUAACAAUCAGCUCCCCAUUUCCACCACUGUCACCUCUCACCAGGCAUUCAUUCAUUCGUUUCCCUGUACAAAAAGUGCCUACCUAAUAAUUACAAAUUCACAAUCUAUGUAGCAGUGAAGCUACGAAAGAUGGAAUGAGCCUUGUCCUUCUGUUAUGGCAUACAAAAGCUUCUCUUUCAUCUUGUCCUUUGAAGAGUAAGGUGGCAACUUAAGGUAAUUGGCGCAUGUCAUUACACUGGGUAGAUCUGCAUCUGCGCAGUUGCUACAAUGCUUCCGGACAAUUGUCAAUUUUGGAUUCAAAGAUGCCAAACCUCCUGGAGGAAGCCGAGGUGCCCCAGUUACAAACUGCAGAAAUGCUCGCCGCUGUUCUUGA
rnacentral:misc_RNA from 1 species